rnacentral:rRNA from 1 species
AUGCGUCAAGUACAAGAGCUUCUCGACAAAGGAGGCAUUAAUAAUAUUACUAUUCGUUAUCGUCAUCCUAUUCCUAGGCUAGAUGAUAUGCUUGAUGAAUUGAGUGGCUCUACAAUAUUCUCCAAAGUUGAUUUGCGUAGUGGCUACCAUCAAAUUCGUAUGAAAUUGGGAGAUGAAUGGAAAACAGCAUUUAAAACUAAGUUUGGAUUAUAUGAGUGGUUAGUCAUGCCUUUUGGGUUAACUAAUGCACCUAGUACUUUCAUGAGAUUAAUGAACGAAGUUUUACGUGCUUUCAUUGGACGAUUUGUGGUAGUUUACUUUGAUGACAUAUUGAUUUAUAGCAGAUCUUUGGAAGAACAUUUGGAACAUUUACGUGCUGUUUUUAUUGCUCUACGUGAUGCACGUUUGUUUGGUAACCUUGGGAAGUGCACCUUUUGCACCGACCGAGUAUUUUUUCUUGGCUAUGUUGUUACUCCACAGGGAAUUGAAGUUGACAAAGCCAAGAUUGAAGCUAUUGAGAGUUGGCCGCAGCCCAAAACGGUCACACAAGUGAGGAGUUUUCUUGGCCUCGCUGGAUUCUAUAGGCGUUUUGUGAGAGAUUUCAGCACCAUUGCUGCACCUCUCAACGAGCUUACAAAGAAGGAUGUGCCUUUUGUUUGGGGUACCGCACAGGAAGAAACCUUCACGGUAUUGAAAGAUAAGUUGACACAUGCUCCUUUACUCCAACUUCCUGAUUUUAAUAAGACUUUUGAGCUUGAAUGUGAUGCUAGUGGAAUUGGAUUAGGAGGUGUGUUAUUACAAGAUGGCAAACCUGUUGCAUACUUUUCUGAAAAAUUGAGUGGGCCUAGUCUGAAUUAUUCUACUUAUGAUAAAGAAUUAUAUGCUCUUGUUCGGACUUUAGAAACAUGGCAACAUUAUUUAUGGCCCAAAGAAUUUGUUAUACAUUCUGAUCAUGAAUCUUUGAAACAUAUUAAAAGUCAAGCUAAACUGAAUCGUAGACAUGCUAAAUGGGUUGAAUUCAUUGAGACUUUCCCUUAUGUCAUUAAACACAAGAAGGGAAAAGAAAAUGUUAUUGCUGAUGCAUUGUCUCGCCGCUAUACUAUGCUUUCACAACUUGACUUCAAAAUAUUUGGUUUGGAGACCAUCAAAGAUCAAUAUGUGCAUGACGCUGAUUUUAAAGAUGUAAUGCAGAAUUGUAAAGAAGGAAGAAUGUGGAACAAGUUUGUCGUUAACGAUGGAUUUGUGUUUCGUGCUAACAAGCUAUGCAUUCCAGCUAGCUCCGUUCGUCUUUUGUUGUUGCAGGAGGCGCAUGGAGGAGGAUUAAUGGGACACUUUGGCGUGAAGAAGACGGAGGACGUACUUGCUACACAUUUCUUUUGGCCAAAGAUGAGACGGGAUGUUGAGCGGCUGUUUUGA